CCCUUCCUAACCUAAAAUCCUGGAUCUGCCCCUCAUAUGGUUUAGGGGUGGGGAGCUCGACUGUUUCCAAGUUAUCAAACAGGAGGGGUAGAGUGGCCCAAAGAAUGCCACCUAUAUAUCAUAUGAUUUACUUACAUUUAGGUAUAUAUAAUAUAGUUGCAUUAUUUGUGAAAAUAAAGAAAGACACUUUCAGCUACUUUAAUUGACCCUUCAAAAUUGAGAAAAACAAAUAACCCUUCGAAAUUGCAGUAAUAUGUUUACACUUUAAAAGCAUCUCACAUGCAUUAUCAUCAUUUAUCACUGAUAAAGAAAAUUUAGACUGUGACUAUGAAUAUGUAUAUUGUUAGAUAUACUGUUCCCAGCUGUCACGUUGUAUUGGAUUUUUAAAUUAAAAUUUGUCAAAAAGUAAUUUUGAGUUUCUGUAUAAAAUAUUUUUCUGCUUUUUCUUUCUUUUACAUACAUCUUCUAGUGUUUAUAUUCAUUUACCAUGCAUAGAUUUAUUUUUUCACCUGCUUUGAUUUAUUUAGUAAUUGAUCGCCAAACCCGGAAUUAUCCUUAUCCGCUUCCGGAAUCGUAUCCGAUAUUGUAAAAUUUUGUCUUCACGGCCGCCAUUGUUAUGUGUUUACAAUGUUGUUUUUGUCAAUCAGAUACGAUUUUACUCGAAUUUCUACAAUAUUUGUCGGCGAUUUUCUGUAUAAAGCUAGCGGUUGAACAAAAUGAAUAUCGCUGUCAUAAAUAAUAAUGAUAAAAAUAAGUUUUUAGCUCGUUUAAUUGGAGACUUUGGUGAACAUGGUGAAAAGGUUUGCAAAGUAAUUUCUUAUUUUCUUUCAAGUGGAAGGUAACUACGUCGGGCGUAGCUAGAAACCAACUAUCCUAUUCGAAAUUCCGCUUGCAAAAGUGGAAGGUCGAGGACCUCGGACCACCUCUAAUUUACACACAUGCCUCCAAAUUGAAAAGCUACGAAAAUUUCUUUUUCUAAUUUGAAAUUGCCGCCAACAGCAUGAACAGUUGAACUUAUUAUAUAAUAGACUACUGACGUAGUUGUACUACGUAUUGAUGACAAACAAUAUCCCUACGACUUUUG
rnacentral:lncRNA from 1 species